rnacentral:rRNA from 1 species
AUGCUGGGAGAAGAUCCAGGGUGGCAGGAUGAACACAAAGCAAUAUCUGAAUGGCGUAAGUUGAUGGGUGGUCGAGGACACCGUCAAGGCAACCUCACCAUCCCAGAAAGAAGACACUGGCAAGGAUAUCACUUACUUCGAGGCAUGGACCAUCAAACGUACCAAAGACGACAAGGACAAGGACCCUCUCCACCCGGAGAGGGACUGGAUCAGCUCUAA